rnacentral:rRNA from 1 species
UACGAAGGUGGCAAGCGUUGUUCGGAUUCACUGGGCGUACAGGGUGUGUAGGCGGUUUGGUAAGCCUUCUGUUAAAGCUUCGGGCCCAACCCGGAAAGCGCAGAGGGUACUGCCAGGCUAGAGGGUGGGAGAGGAGCGCGGAAUUCCCGGUGUAGCGGUGAAAUGCGUAGAGAUCGGGAGGAAGGCCGGUGGCGAAGGCGGCGCUCUGGAACAUACCUGACGCUGAGACACGAAAGCGUGGGGAGCAAACAGGAUUAGAUACCCUGGUAGUCCACGCCCUAAACUAUGGAUACUAAGUGUCGGCGGGUUACCGCCGGUGCCGCAGCUAACGCAUUAAGUAUCCCGCCUGGGAAGUACGGCCGCAAGGUUGAA